GAAAUGCGAUAAGUAGUGUGAAUUGCAGAAUUCAGUGAAUCAUCGAAUCUUUGAACGCACAUUGCGCCCUGGGGCAUUCCCCAGGGCAUGCCUGUUCGAGCGUCAUCUACAACCUCAAGCUCUGCUUGGUGUUGGGCGUCUGUCCCGCCUCGGCGUGGACUCGCCUCAAAUGCAUUGGCGGCCGGUUCCUUGGCUUCGAGCGCAGCACAUUGCGAACCUCGAGCCCCAAGGGUGCCUGGCUCCCAGAAGCUACCCCCCAAUUUUGACCUCGGAUCAGGUAGGGAUACCCGCUGAACUUAA
rnacentral:misc_RNA from 1 species